UACGUAGGGUGCGAGCGUUACUCGGAAUUACUGGGCGUAAAGUGUGCGCAGGCGGCCGCGCAAGUCGAGUGUGAAAGCCCCGAGCUUAACUUGGGAAUUGCGCUCGAAACUACGUGGCUGGAGUGUGGCAGAGGAAGGUGGAAUUCCACGUGUAGCGGUGAAAUGCGUAGAGAUGUGGAGGAACACCGAUGGCGAAGGCAGCCUUCUGGGCCAACACUGACGCUCAUGCACGAAAGCGUGGGGAGCAAACAGG
rnacentral:rRNA from 1 species